UCUCUCUCUCUCUCUCUCUCUCUCUCUCUCUCUCUCUCUCUCUCUCUCUCUCUCUCUCUCUCUCUCUCUCUCUCUCUCUCUCUCUCUCUCUUUCCUAGUAGCUCUUUGAUUCGAUCUGAUAAAUAUAUCAUGGAAGGAACAACUGAGAUGGUUGACCAGACGUACGAGUUCUUGGCUCCUGUGAUGGUUCGAUGGAAGACGUACAACUGCUACUCCUUUGAUCACACAGCAGUUCCAAGGGACAAAAACAAAACGCCUAAGCAGAUAGAAGAAAACAAGGAGAACAUUCCUCCUCCUAACCACCACUGCAGUCAUCUCAUGAACCGUAAGAAGCAGCAAACUGCUAGAAAGAUAGCUGAGGAAUCCAUCUGCAGUUUGGCCUAAAGGAACUAAUCAGAAAAUUGUGAAAAAGUCGUUUUGUUAUGCCUCCUUGCAGGGAAACGAGUCCCCAGAACAUAGCUCUGGCACUACCACUCUGAUGAUGGAAAAUCAAAAAGCAAAAGCUAGAUGAUGGAGAAUCAAGACAGAUACUAAAUCCAAAACCAACAACUCCUGCUCCCGUUAACACCCGUUUCAACCUAUGCCCUUUAGUCACUCCGAAGGAGAACAGAAAGGUUUAUUUAUGUCCGUGAGCAAGAAGAGCAGGCGAGACUUGUCAUGCCAACACUUGUCUUCCACAGGGGACAUAGGUUUACGGAUCAGGAAGUUGAGCCAGAUGCUUGUGUUGCGGUGAAGGAUUGGUGGUUCAACACUGGAUUCCACCUUGCAUAUGAUAUACAAUCCAUUUCUUUCACCUCUUCCAUUCCAUUCAUAUGAAGAGACCAUUGAAAAAUCUUGAGGUUGCUCACUUGCUCAUCAGCAAACAUUUACAGACUCAUGUAGACUCUGUAAACCAAGGUGGUAAAACUACAUCCAUGUGCACGACGAAAGACAGUUGUUGCCGAGCACUCCGUGCCAAGCUAUCCGCCCUUUUGUUCUCCGUCCUAGGAACAUGAACAAUUUCUGAGUUGACAAAACUUUGUCGCAAAGUCUUGAUAUCUUCCAGGUAGCUUUCAAAUGCUGGCCAUUCCUCUGGUUCCGAAACCAUCUUCACCAGUUGAGAACAAUCCGUUGCAAACGUAACCUGAAACUGCCUUAAAUUUUGCAUACAUUCCAUCGUCCAAAUCAAUGCCUCCAUCUCCGAAUGAAGAGGUGAGAGGGAUGCCCUUACAUUUCGUGCUCCCAAUAAGCCAUCAAACCCUGGCAGCGUGCUACGCCAUCCUUGUCCUGAAAAAAAAUCCUUAUCUUUCCAAGAACCAUCCGUGAAACACCAUCGUCCUAUGGUCCCUAUAUCAGGCCGUACUUGUACUUCCUGUACCAAUCUAUGAUCUUUAAUAACUUGUGCCUCAGCCCACAAUGUUGAUUCCACUUCUGCCAAUCUCAGCAUGUCUCUUGGGUCCAUAUCUAAAUUACUGAACACUUUGUUGUUCCGACCCUUCCAAAUAUACCAUAAUAUCCAUGCAAACUGGUGAUCCACCAUUUUUGGAUUAAGUCUCCAGAAUAGAUGAUCCAUAUUAGCAAAAAGAGAGCCAAUUGGGAAAAUGUUUGGAUUUGAUGGGAUUUUGGAUAAUGCCCACACUUGACGUGCUGGAGGACAUUAAAAAAACACAUGGUUUAUUGAUUCCUCCGGAGCUCCGCACCUGGCACAGCAGGUGUCUCCUUGCAUCCCUCGUGCUUUUAAUGUUUUCGUCACCGCUAUACAACCAGAUACCAGCUGCCAAAGAAAGUGUUUUAGCUUCGGAGGACACCUCACCUUCCAACAGUAUGCCUUAAGGAUAUCCACAUUAGGGCCAUAAAAAUCAGGUGGUUUCUCCUUGUCAGGAUAAAUCCUUUUUACCUGAUAUCCUGAUUGUACCGUAUAUUUUCCAUUUUUUGUGAAAUGCCAUCCAUUCCUAUCUGCCAACUGAUUUCUGCCCAAUGGUAUACUCUCAAUUAUUUUUGCAUCUUGUGGAUCCACCAAGUCCCUAAUUGCCUGUACAUUCCAUGUGCGUGAUUCUUGAUUAAUGAAAUAAUCUACAGUGAGGUCCGGGUAACUAUUAUGUAGGUUUUUGUUGGCUGGUCUCGGGCGAGUGGAUGAGAGCCAAGGGUCAUUCCAUACUGAAAUAGAUGAUCCUGUUCCUACCCUUUUAAUUAGUCCUUUAUAAACCAGAGAUCUAGCAGAAGUAAUACUCCUCCAGCCAUAUGACGGGGAGUAUGAGCGAAUCGGUUCCAGGGGUGAAGAAUUCCUGUAAUACCGUCCUUUGAAGACUCGAGCAAAGAGGGAAUUUGGCUUCUCGAUCAGCCGCCACAACUGUUUCCCAAGCAUUGCCGUAUUAAAAUCAGUCAAAUCCUUAAAACCCAACCCACCAUUGUCUUUAUGGGCACAUACUUUAUCCCAUGAUUUCCAAUGCAUACCUCUUGUGCUACCUCCUGGGCUCCACCAAAAUUGGGCGACUGCACCUGUGAGCUUCUUCACUGUAGUUUUCGGCAACCGGUACACAGACAUCACAUGGUUUGGCAAAGCCGUAAUCACUGAUUUAAUGAUCACCUCUUUUCCACCCUUGGUAAAAAAACGAAAGGUCCAUCCAUUAACCCUACUAUUCAGCUGUUCUUGUACAAAGCCAAACACUUGUACUUUAGAGCCACCUAGACUUUCCGGUAGUCCUAAAUAAGAUCUCAUUCCACCUAAAUUCUGGAUUCCCAAAAUAUCCCUCAAUUCUUGACGGCUAGCCUCUUCAAUCUUAUGUCCAAAUUGAAUGGAAGAUUUCUGAAAAUUAAUUUGUUGCCCUGAGACAGUUUCGUAUUCCUUUAGAAUCCUGAGAAUAGUCUGACACUCCUCCUUUUUUUCCUUGCAGAAAAACAAACUAUCAUCUGCAAAUAACAAAUGAGAGAUUGCAGGGCAAGCUCUUGCCACUUUCAUACCAGUUAAAUGUUUCAUCCGCUCUGCCUUUUUAAUAUUUGAAAUUAAUGCCUCCGUACACAUAAUAAAUAAAUAAGGGGAUAAGGGAUCCCCUUGCCGUAAACCUCGCUGGGGGGUUAUAAGACCCCGAGGUUGCCCAUUUAUAAGAACCCUGUAUUGGACUGAGGAAAUACAUUCGCGCAUUAAUUUGAUCCAGUGAGAAUCAAAACCCAUUUUGUAAAGGAGAGCCUCAUUGAAGUUCCACUCUAUCCGAUCAUAAGCCUUGCUCAUAUCUGUUUUAAUUGCCAUAAAAUUAUUCUGACAAGACUUAUUGGCUCUCAAACCAUGAAACAUUUCCUGUGCAAUAAGAAUAUUAUCCGAAAUUAGCCUUCCUGCCACAAAAGCCGAUUGUGUUUCCGAAAUUAGUCUGGGAAGACAACUUUUCAAUCUUUGACACAAAACUUUCUAUAUAAUCUUGUAGCCAACAUUACAAAGACUUAUCGGCCUUAGUUCCGUCAUCCUUGUCGGCCUCUCCCCUUUUGGUAUCAUACAAAUAUUAGUUAAAUUCAUCCUUGGAUCCAGAUCGCCUGUAAUCAAAAAAUUAUUCACCAGCUCCACCACAUCUGUUUUAAUAACAUGCCAAGAAUGUUGAAAAAAGAGAGCCGUCAUCCCAUCCGGCCCUGGCGCUUUUUCCGGAUGCAUCAUAAAUAGUGCUUGUCUGACUUCUUCCUCUGUUGCUAACCGUAGUAGCAUUUGAUUCAUCUGUGGAGAAAUUGUUGGUCCUAUCUCUUCCAGAAAACUAUCAAACUCAGUAGGAUUAGAAGAAUGAAACAAACCCUCAAAGUAAUUUACCGCCACAUUUUCAACACCAUUCUCAUCUGUAAUCCAUUUACCCGUAUCAUCAUGAAGGCCGACUAUUUUAUUUCGAAUGCGUCGUUGCUUUGUCAAAGCAUGAUAAAAUUUUGUGUUAAGAUCCCCGGAUGAAUGCCACAUAUUCCGACUCUUCUGAUGCCAAUACUCUUCCUCAUCCUUAUACGCCUCUUGUAAUUUCCUGGAAAUCUCAAUAAUCUCCUCUUGUGAUCUGUUGUUAUCUGUUUGUACCUCCUCCAGAGCUUGUUGAAGAUUAUGAAUUUUUUCCUUUCCAUAUGGUUGAUUUUCCUUCCGCCAAGAUGAUAUCUCAUGUCGGCAGUUACUAAUUUUAGUAACAAAAUCCUCUGAUUGACCUGUUCUGGAUUCUGUCCAGCCCGAUACAAUUGACUCCAUUAGCCCCUCUUGGCCUAACCACCUUUUAUCAAACCUAAAUUGUCCCCUUCUUCUCUUUGAUGAUCUGUCUUCCAAAAAAGCAAUCACAGGGCGAUGAUCCGAUCCCACCAUCCUCAAGUAUUCUGUAUAAGAAACUGGAAACAGUGUGUGCCAUUCUUCAUUAGCUAAGGCUCGAUCCAAUCUGCAUCUGACCAUCACCGUUCCUUUCCCUUUGCCUCUCCGGCCUUGCCAUGACAAUUUAUUACCUCGAGCUGGGAAUUCCAAUAACCCACUAUUUCGUAUCAUAUUAUUAAAAGGAAUAAAAGAUGUUGCACAUCGUAAAGAACCCCCAUCCUUUUCAUGAUUCCCAAUAAUCUCAUUUAGAUCUCCUAUAAUAAACCAAGGAUCCGACCUGGAUAACCCAUACCGGGUUAAUCGCUCCCAAACUUGUUCCCUUAGUUUCUGAUCCGGUUCACCAUAUACAAAUGUAAGGAAAACUUGUUUCCCUUUGACCACAGCCUCAAUCAUUCUAUUACUUGAAUAUAAAAUUUUAACUUGGAACUCAUUGUUAUAAUAGAGAGCUAAACCACCACUUCUCCCAAUUGGAUCCAUCGUAGCCAGAUUGUCAUAACCAAAGUGAAAUUGAAAUCCUUGUACUAAACCAAAAUCCUGUUUCGUUUCUGAUAAAAAUAAAAAAUCUGGUUUGUUUUUAUGCCAUAUUUCCCGGAGAUAACUCUUUGUCCAGUGACUUCCAAGACCUCUGCAAUUCCAACUUAAUAUUUUCAUAUAUAAAGAGACUGAUUUUGCCCUUUCGAGCGAGAGGACUGGAGUUUAAUGAUACUCAACAGUCUUAUAAUACCAGGUGCCUGGAAACCAUAAAUCCCGUACUCAAACCCAUUAAGUGUAUCACUAGACCCAUCAGGAUCAUGAUCACACCACCGAAACCCAUCUUUCCAAAUUGCCGAUGACUCCUUGCCGUCAUUCCAUAAACCCAUCAAAACAAGAUACAUAUUAUAUAUAUUUAAACCAUUACAGUUCUCUCUUAAAAAUACCAAUAGUUCAUAUAAAUGUGCAAGAUUUAUCAAUCGCUUAGCGAACCAGCUAUUUUGAUAAAACAUACCAUUAGACCCGUAAGACCAUUUCAGUGCAUUUAAACUAGCAACUAAGCCUACCAUAAACAUCCCAUUAGUUAAUUCAUAUAAAACACAAAGGGUACACAAUACUAUAUAUAACCCUCUAACUUGACUUAAGGAUGAACCCCAUCUCCUCGAUCUCAAACAAAUUUGCACCAUGAUACCUAAAAUCAUAGUCGCCAAUGAUCCCAAAGCCUCCAUAGUUCCGUACCAAACCAAGGCCAAUACCAUAUAUAAUAGACUCGUUAUAAGCCGACUCCCACAACCAUAUCUCCAAUCCAAAGAAUCCACACUCACACCACAUAACAUACGUAACAAUACACAUACGCAUACAGCAAGAAAACACCACCACAAACUUAAAAUUCCAAUUUUAUUCCAUAUCUUAAUAAAAGCCACAAUAAUCAUCACAAUUUCCUCUUUCCCCACCGUCAUUAUCGAAACUAAUAUAAAUAGGUCUUGAUCCAUAAUCUUAAAACUUGAGGUUCGUUGACUUCGGGUUUGAAGGCCCCUUUCUUUCUAACGGUUUACCACCAUCACCCUGACGAAUUCCCACCUUAGCUACAGCACGUUUGCGUGGAGAGAGAAGCGAGCUUGCCAUCCUCAUCUUGUUGCUACCCGCUGUGCUGGGUUUGAGCAGCCUCCUGCGAUUACUCUGUCUCGUCGCCAUGUCAUCUGCUACCGUUGCGUUGUUGCCAUCACCACUCACCAGUUCCUCUUGCCCAUCAACCUCAGCCAGUUGCUCAGCUUCCUCCUCCGAGAGAGUCUGAAACUCAUCCUCUACCUCCACAUCCUCACCAUUCUCCAAUAUGGAAGCAUGAAUAGCCUCUAUUUCCAUAUCAAUGUCAGCUGCUAUGUCCUCUUGUUGCCCCAUCACUCCCUUGAGCUUGAUUAAACCCAUCUCCUCCUCAGUAGUGUCAAUUAUCGCCUCUGAUCCUUCCGCCUGCGUCUUAGCUAGUUCAAGUUGAAACUCGUCAGUCGCUGCAUCAUCACCAGUACCCUUGAUCUCCCCUUCUUCCCUAACUGCGGAAACUGGAGUCCUCUGACCAUGAGAAUCUCUUGGUUGAUGCGAAGAAGGUCUAGCACGUAUCUCUUGAUCACCAACUCCCCCACGUGUGCCUCCACUUCUCCCCUCAUCCCUCCGCGUGUUUCUGUAUCGAGAGCCCUCACCAUCUCCUCUAUAACUUCCAUAGUAGGUAGAAGGCUUCCUAGAUCCCUUCUCAGCUACCUUGACCCACUUAGAGUCCACCACAUCAACCGCCUUUCCCUUUCCUUUCCCAUAGUUUUCCCGGUUGUCUCUUUCUUUGUUCUGUUGACCCGGUUGCCCGUUGAUGACCGCACCCUUAUAACUACGAGCUCGAUCCUCAUGUUUCGUACCAUCUGUCCACGCUCCAUUGCCUUCUCUAAGCUCCCUUCUUCUCUCUGGGCUCGACUUUAAAUUAUUGUCGUCUAAAGGACAUAGCUCCUCCUUGUGACAAAGACUAGCACAUAGCUUGCAGUGCCCGAAUAAAUUUUCAUAGCGCAGAAAGACUGCCGCUUCCUCAUUAUCAUAGUACUCUCCUCCUUUGAAAUCCACCAUCGUCUCCAGACACAGCUCCUCUACUUGAACUCUGUUAUACUUCACAUCAACCGCAACUACUCUCAAUCCCCGCAGAUACCAAAACACCCAAACCUCGGUAAGGUAAAACAGCCCCAUCUCCAGAAGGUAUGAAGAGGAAAGAAAAGAAUCACGAUCUAAAUUACAACCUGUAAAGAUCCUGAGAUCAAUCUCUAUUGCGUCCAGACUCCACCGCCCUUGGACCCAGAUCUUCAAUUUCCUUAAAAUCCGACAGUUCCUCUUUCCGAUUCCCGGGUCUCUCCCAAAUCGGACCAAAUAAAAGCCUUGAUUCCCAUAAUCCUUGUUGUGAUCACCAUAGAUCGAGUCCACCCAAUCCCCUGCUCGAAUUCCCGGAUUCCAUCUUCGUAAAAUCAUCAAACCCUAGUCGCCAAUAUCAUCACCGUGGCUGUAUAUGCUUUUUAAUAUUUAUUUAUUUAUAAUUGCUUAGUUAGACAAUGUGGAAUAAAAUAGUCAAAUUACUGUGACAAAAAUUGCUGUAGGUAACCAAUAUUAUCUAAAUAAACAACUACAAUUUUCUAAA